GGACUACUGGGGUAUCUAAUCCCGUUCGCUCCCCUAGCUUUCGCGCCUCAGCGUCAGAAGAGGUCCAGCACGUCGCUUUCGCCACCGGCGUUCCUUCCGAUAUCAACGCAUUUCACCGCUCCACCGGAAGUUCCACAUGCCCCUACCUCCCUCAAGGCGGCCAGUAUCAGGGGCACUUUUCCGGUUGAGCCGAAAGAUUUCACCCCUGACUUGAUCGCCCGCCUACGCGCCCUUUAAGCCCAGUGAUUCCGAACAACGUUCGCACGGUUUGUCUUACCGCGGCUGCUGGCAC
rnacentral:rRNA from 3 species